rnacentral:rRNA from 1 species
AGAGUUUGAUCAUGGCUCAGAUUGAACGCUGGCGGAAUGCUUUACACAUGCAAGUCGAGCGGCAGCGCGGGGCAACCUGGCGGCGAGCGGCGAACGGGUGAGUAACAUAUCGGAACGUACCCAGUCGUGGGGGAUAACUAUCCGAAAGGAUAGCUAAUACCGCAUACGACCUGGAGGGUGAAGGGGGGGAUCGCAAGACCUCUCGCGAUUGGAGCGGCCGAUAUCGGAUUAGCUAGUUGGUGAGGUAAAGGCUCACCAAGGCGACGAUCCGUAGCUGGUCUGAGAGGACGACCAGCCACACUGGAACUGAGACACGGUCCAGACUCCUACGGGAGGCAGCAGUGGGGAAUUUUGGACAAUGGGGGCAACCCUGAUCCAGCCAUUCCGCGUGAGUGAAGAAGGCCUUCGGGUUGUAAAGCUCUUUCGGCAGGAACGAAACGGUGAGCUCUAACAUAGCUUGCUAAUGACGGUACCUGAAGAAGAAGCACCGGCUAACUACGUG